rnacentral:rRNA from 1 species
GAGUUUGAUCCUGGCUCAGGAUGAACGCUGGCGGCGUGCUUAACACAUGCAAGUCGAACGGGGCCACCAUUUUUGAAGCGAUUAGCUUGCUAAGAGUGGAAAUGUUGGCGGCUUAGUGGCGGACGGGUGAGUAACGCGUGGGUAACCUGCCAUAUACAGGGGGAUAACACUUAGAAAUAGGUGCUAAUACCGCAUAAGCGCACGGAGCUGCAUGGCUCAGUGUGAAAAACUCCGGUGGUAUAUGAUGGACCCGCGUCUGAUUAGCUUGUUGGCGGGGUAACGGCCCACCAAGGCGACGAUCAGUAGCCGGCCUGAGAGGGUGGACGGCCACAUUGGGGACUGAGACACGGCCCAAAACUCCUACGGGAGGCAGCAGUGGGGAAUAUUGGACAAUGGGGGGAACCCUGAUCCAGCGACGCCGCGUGAGUGAAGAAGUAUCUCGGUAUGUAAAGCUCUAUCAGCAGGGAAGAAAGAAAUGACGGUACCUGACCAAGAAGCCCCGGCUAACUACGUGCCAGCCGCCGCCG